rnacentral:rRNA from 1 species
AUUGAACGCUGGCGGCAGGCCUAACACAUGCAAGUCGAACGAGUGGCGGACGGGUGAGUAACGUCUGGGAAACUGCCCGAUGGAGGGGGAUAACUACUGGAAACGGUGGCUAAUACCGCAUACCAGCGGAUGUGCCCAGGUGGGAUUGGCUAGUAGGUGGGGUAACGGCUCACCUAGGCGACGAUCCCUAGCUGGUCUGAGAGGAUGACCAGCCACACUGGAACUGAGACACGGUCCAGACUCCUACGGGAGGCAGCAGUAGGGAAUAUUGCGCAAUGGGCGCAAGCCUGAUGCAGCCAUGCCGCGUGUAUGAAGAAGGUCUUCGGGUUGUAAAGUACUUUCAGCGAGGAGGCGUUACUCGCAGAAGAAGCACCGGCUAACUCCGUGCCAGCCGCCGCGGUAAUAC